rnacentral:lncRNA from 1 species
UAUUUUCUAGGCAGGAAGAAUAAGAGGGAUCAAAGAAGGCAGUAGGUAGCACUUACUACAAAGCAAUAACAAUUUCCUGGAAAUUUCCUGUUUAGGAAUUUGAUUUACACCUCAUGGGGCAGGAACUGUAUCAGAUAGCCCCCAUAUUGCAAAGGAAGCUGAGAAAUAUAGAUUUUUUAAAAAAAACUGGAAAUAUAUUUCCCCUAAACAAAAUCUAAGAUUUCACGAAGAGGGGACAGACCAAAUGCUUUUUCUGUGUCUAUUGAGAUGAUCAUAUGAUUCUUAUCUUUAAGUGAACUGAUGUGAUGAAUUACAUUGAUUUUCAUAUGUUGAACCAACCUUACAUCCCUGGGAUGAAUCCCACUUGAUCAUGGUGUAUGAUCUUUUUGAUAUGUUUUUGUAUUCAAUUUGCCAGAAUUUUAUUGAGAAUUUUUGCAUCUAUUUUCAUUAGAGAUAUUGGUCUGAAGUUUUCUUUUUAUGAUGUCUCUUUGCCUGGUUUUGGAAUAUGGGUAAUAUUGGCCUCACAAAAUGAGUUUGGAAGUGCUCCCUCUUUUUCUAUUUCCUGAAAUAGAUUAAAGAGUGUUGAUUUUAAUUCUUCUUUAAAGGUCUUAUAGAAUUCAGACCUACACACAGCUGUGUAUCCAUCAGGUCCUG